rnacentral:misc_RNA from 1 species
UUUCUUGAAACGAAAGUCGAAGUAGAAAAAGGCGAAGCAAUGAAAUCAGUAAUCUGCAAUCUCAAGUAUGGGUACAAAUCUUUGUUUCAUGUGAAGUGGGUUUCGGUUUCUGGGUUUCACAUAUCUGUGGCUGGUGUUCUGGGUGUUGCUGGUUUGCUUUUGGCUUUAGUAAGAGACCGCAACUUGGGGAAUUUAACUCGCUUACCUUGGUUGGCUCAGAGAGAAAAUCGUCUGGAGAAGCUCUACUUCGUUCCUGGCUUGCAAAAUCUUGGGAAUAAUUGCUUUUUGAAUGUCAUAUUACAGGCUCUAGCUAGCUGUUCAUAUUUCCAACCUUUUCUUCAAAAGGUAAUAGAGGAUUUUGCAUCAGCUGCCAAUGGAGAGUGGAGUGAAAGUUUGCACCUUACAGUUGCUUUGGCUGCUUUAUUAGAAGAACUAUCUUCAUUUGGUGAACAAAGAGUUGUGUUAAGUCCGCGGAAGGUGAUGCUUGCAAUGGCUGACUAUAUUCAAAAUUUCAGUUUAACAAGCCAACAGGUCAUUGCUUUUUCAGAACUCUUUGAGCAAGCAAAUUACGUUCCAAUGACUAUUUUUGUUAUUUCCAUGCAUAGGAUGCUGAAGAAGCAUUUCUUCAUCUGUUAUCCUCUUUAAGAGAAGAAUUUUCAGAUUCUUAUCCUCCAAAUGAGAGUUCUCUAGCAGAUGCUUUUGCCUCUCCUAAUUAUAGGAUUCUUGCUCCAAGGAGGAGGGAAAUACUGAAUGAACAAGAAAGGUGGCAACAACACUUUUUUGGACCAUUUGAUGGAAUUCUUAGUAGCAUUUUAACUUGUCAAAGCUGUUCAUCUCAGGUUUGUGCUGCCCUCAUAUAAGACUUUCCAUUUGCAAUGUAUGCAUGUAAGUUAUUUCUCUCUACCUUCAUUUUUUUGCAUAAAUAUUUAGAAUUGUACUAUGACUGGAAUACUUGCAAAUUUGUAGUGAUUGGUGAAUGAUCUAAAUGUUCAUAGAUUAGUAACCUUUGAGAACCUAUUUCCUUUCUACUAGUUUUAUUUCUUAUGUUUAUAUUAUGCAGCAAACUAUUUUGAUUCUCUUCCUAUGUCAUAACUUAUAGGUCCAUGUGGUUUAAUUGCACUUUUGUUGUUUUGCAGAUUUCAUUGAAUUUUCAAUUUUUUCAUAGCUUACCUCUUUUGCCAGUACUUGAAAGUGGUUCUACCAUUGUAUGUUAACACAGAUGGCUGGAUGUACCUUGGAGGAGUGCUUGAAGCAAUUCAUUGCUGCUGAACAAGUUGAGAAUUACAACUGCGGCCAUUGUUGGCACAUUGCUGCAAUGAAGUAUUUAUCUUUGAAAGGAGCAAAAGAGACGGAGAUUGAAAAAAUUAGGAGAUGUAGCAUGCAAGAUUUCUGUACCUGCCAUAGUCUUUCUCAUCUUGAAAGUCUACCAUGGUCAAAUAAGUUUUCACGCACUUUAAAGCAACUAAGUAUUGCUCGUUGCCCAAAGAUUUUAUGCAUUCAUUUACAACGUGUUUCAAUAAAUCGGUUUGGAGAACCAGUCAAACUUCAGGGCCACGUCAGCUUUCCAUUAAUUUUGAACAUGCUUCCGUUCACAUUGGACAAGGCACAAAGUCAAAAAGCAAUCCCUCAUCUGAACUAUUUUAAUGUGCAUUCUGACAGAAGAAUGCUAAAUUGUAUUCAUGGACAAAGUACUUACUCAAAGAUUGUAGGAGCUGAUGGAUCUGGGUUCAAUGAACACACAGAAACCUUGUUGGGAGAAUCCAGUUUGCCCCAAACCAAAGGCUGUUCCAAAGCCAUAUUUACAGAUGAGAGCAUGCAAACUAAUGACAAGGCCAGUGAAACUUCCUCAGUAGCUCCUGCAGAUCCUUUGCUAUACCGUCUUGUUUCUCUUGUGGAGCACUUUGGAAAGGCCGGAGGUGGCCAUUAUACUGUUUAUAGAAGUGUGAGCUCCCAGACACUGAAAGAGCAUACCAGUGAAAUUCUCAAGCCUUCCCAUCUUCAGUGGUUUUGUAUAUCAGAUUCUGAUGUCUCCAGUGUCUCAGAGAAAGAUGUGCUAGCUGCGGAGGCUAGCUUGCUCUUCUAUGAGAGAAUUGUAGAAGGCUGAAAUUCUUUGUAAGGUAACCACUUCUUGUGGAAGCUAUAUUGUAUCCUUCCAACAGCAGCUUCUUCUGUUGCAACUCCAAGUAAACACUUGAUGCCAUGAAAUUCUAUUGAAAGGAACCACCACCACCAGUUUCAGCUCUGUAAUGCUGAAUAAAUGCGAGCACUAAGCGAGUCCUUACAGGUCAUCUAACACCCACCUCUGUCAAACAAAACGCCUGGAUUCCUUCGUUAUCACCAGAAAAGUGCUCUAGAAAGAAGUGCAGCCAAGAAGAAAACAUGCGGCCGGGACUCUUGAUUUUUUUGUUCAAAAACAGAUAGUUAUGAGACAGAAACAGUUUUUCCAAUAACUUUGUAGUUCUUUGAAAUUAUAAUGAGUACGUUCAAUUGAAAUUAGGUAUGUACACCUCUCAGAAGAUUGCAUACCAUAAACAGUCCUCUCUCCCCUUUAUAUAUACCUACACAUGCACGUAUCAUACACUAUGAAUACCUUUAUGCUUGUUUGCUUUUUGUUGAACCUACAUACCCUAUUAAGCAUACUCUUAUGUUCAAUUAUACUCAAGAUUAUCUUCUCCUCUG